AGACUAUUGAUGGUGUGGACAAUCCUGAAGAAGAGCUUUGAACUGCUCCCAAGCAUGGUAGAGAUUCUCAUUUGUCUUUUAUUUGAAGCAUAAUAUCUCACUACAAAGUCU
rfam:Capsicum annuum cultivar Zunla-1 chromosome 11, whole genome shotgun sequence